rnacentral:misc_RNA from 1 species
UUCGAUUCCCAAUACACUCACCA